ensembl:lincRNA E130018N17Rik RIKEN cDNA E130018N17 gene
ACCAGGGCAGGGCAGCAUUCCCUACAGCCGCCAUUUCUUCUCUGUCAGCUCUCUGCUGUCAGACAGAGAGCCAAACAGAGCUGGAAGGUCAGAUAUCUCUGGAAUGUAUUGAGCACCUACUGGGUGCACAACCUUGAGGAAGAGCACGUGCCCUCUGCAGGAGAAUCUGUUCCCGUCUCCCCGCAGUUCCGUCUCAUGCCUGCUCUGCUGUGGGCAAAGUGUCCCUUCUGCCACCAGGGCUCCUGACUAGUUUUCCUGGAACCAUCUGGCCUCCUGGUCUCUUCUAGCCUUGCUGGAUUAAGGUGAAAAGCCAGUCUAGGCCACCAUAGCCAGACUGCCUGCUGCAUGGACAGCAGGCGCUGGCCCAGCUGCCUCUGCCCUGAGUCCUGGAUCCUUCCUUCACUGGAAAGUACCUCUCAUGGAGAAAAUUCAUCAAGGUAAAACCUCGUGAACAAGAUGUUUUGGCUUGGCAGGAAACAAACAGUGGUUAACAACAAAUUAGUGAGCUACUGAGCCUCUGGGUACAUGGCGCUGAGGGCAGACCCAGGUUGGCUGCAGACAUCAGCUAUGGUCUCCUGCAGACCUGAGGGGGCACAGGCCUGGCUCAAAGCUCCCUUCACACAGACUGGAACAGUCUGCAGGCGGGACGCUCUUGUGUGCGGCUUAAGCUCUGGCCUGCUCCUCAGGCUCUGUUCCCCAGAGCCCUGCUCUACUGACCUAAGGCUGGGUUUCUUUUCUCUCCUUUGAUUGGACAAGGGGCCCAAACUCCUGAAGUGGGGCUUUCAAGGAGCCCAGAGCUCAGCAUGAAAUAUUUUCAACUGAAGAACAAUCCUAGGAGCAAAAGCCUCCUUUGGGGGGUGGGGUGCACCCAGGUGCCCUCCUCAGCUCCCAGGUGAGUCUCUGAAUGUUGCCACCAACACUGAAGAAGUCUCUACUUCUGCCAUACCCAGCCUGUCUGGCAGGAGGGGACACAUUCUAAAGAGACACUCACGACCCUCUCUUUAGCUUUCAGUCUAGUGGAAAAAAAUGGACCCCAAGAAAUGAAAAGUUCCCCAGUAUUCUCCUGUUGAGAGAAUAAAUGCCUGGAGCCUUGGGGACAACCUGAGGGGAACUGGUCACCCAGAAGAUUAACAACUAAUCCCAUGACCUUGGAACUGGACUGAGGAGGUAACAGACAGGGUCAGGCCUUGACUAUGGAGUUAUGCAAAUCUCUUAUUUUUUAAGCCCCACCCUCGGUCAGGAUCCCUAAGGAUUUGGGAACUCCCUGGAUCCUUCUGUUGCAGCCACACUAAGUAAAUUUCCUUUUUUGCUAUUCAC